GAUGAACGCUGGCGGCGUGCCUAACACAUGCAAGUCGAACGGAAAGGCCCUGCUUUUGUGGGUUUCUCGAGUGGCGAACGGGGGAGUAACACAUGAGUAACCUGCCCUUGACUGUGGGGGAACUUCUGGAGACUGCGGCUAAUACCGGAGAUGAGCUCCUGCUGCAUGUUGGGGGUUGGAAAGUGUCGGCGGUGGGGGAUGGUCUCGCGGCUUAUCAGCUGGUUUGUGGGGUAGUGGCUGACCACGGGUUUGACGGGUAGCCGGCCUGGGAGGGGGACCGGACACAUUGGGACUGCGGUAGGGAGCAGACGGCAAUGGGAGGCAGUAGUGGAGAAUAUUGCACAAUGGGCGGAAGCCUGAUGCAGCAACGCUGCGUGCGGGAUGCCGGCUUUCGGGUUGUAAACCAAUUUCGCCUGUGACGAAGCGUGAGUGACGGUAAUGAGUCAAGAAGCAACGGCUAACUACGUG
rnacentral:rRNA from 1 species